ACAGAGCCUUUUAGUGUGGACCAAUGAGAAGAUCAGUUUUCCAUUAUAUCACAGCCAAAUUUGAACAUGUUUUACCAGUACCAACAAUGUAAAUAUGGUAAUAUAAUUGAACUAUGGUAAUGUGAUUGAGCUGCAGGAUCAGUCAUUAAAACACUCUAAUGUAACAGCUAAAACAAGUUGGUGGAAGAAGAUGUUCUGAUGCAGUGCAGAAACGUUCUUGCUCGGUGAGUAAUGUUACAGGCACAGAGUGUCUCUGGGGUUGAGGUAAUGUUGACAGGCAGCAAGUGUCUUGGGUUGGAGGUAAUGUUGACCAGGCAGCAGCAGUGGUCUCUGGGUUGGAGGUAAUGUUGACAGGCAGCAGAGUGUCUCUGGGUUGGAGGUAUGUUGACAGGCAGCAGAGUGUCUCUGGGUUGGAGGUAAUGUUGACAGCAGCAGAGUGUCUCUGGGUUGGAGGUUAAUGUUGACAGGCAGCAGAGUGUCUCUGGGUUGGAGGUAAUGUUGACAGGCAGCAAGGUCUCUGUUGAGGUUGGGUGUGGUUGAGGUAAUUUGACAGCAGGUGUGUGUCUCGGGUUGGAGGUAAUGUUGCAGGCAGCAAAAUGUUUCCUGUCUCUGGGUUGGAGGUAAUGUGACAGGACUUCAGAGGGUAUUGUCUCUGGGUUGGGUAAUGUUGACAGGCAGAGGGUUUUUGUCUCUGGGUUUGAGGUAUGUUGACAGGCAGCAGAGAGGUAUGUCCUCGGGUUGGAGGUAAUGUUGACAGGCAGCAGAGAGGGUAUUGUCUCUGGGUUGGAGGUAAUGUUGACAGGCAGCAGAGAGGGUAUUGUCUCUGGGUUGGAGGUAAUGUUGACAGGCAGCAGAGAGGUUUUUCUCGGGUGGAGGAAUGUUGAGCAAAGUUAAAUGGGAAGCAGGGAAGUAAAAGUGGUCGGUGGCUGGCGCUCCAGCCACUGAAGAAGACAGAUAAUCUGGAUCUCAAAUCUGUCUUAUCUACAAACUUCCUGCGUGAUUCACCCUGAGAGGAGAGACGAAUGGGUGGCUCGGAUGGGGGAGAGAGGGAGGGGUGUGCACUUCUCUGUGUGUCCCCUGAGAGAGAGAGACUGAAGGGUGCCGGAUGGGGGGGGGGGGGUGCCUUCUCUGUGUGUCUCUCCUCUGUGACUUGCCACCAUCUGCCCCUGCCACGUUCUCUCUCUCAGGCAGGUACCUUGUAGUCAGACGUCAGCGUUUCCUUCUCCCUCUCUCUGUCCCUUUCUUUCUGCCUGUUCACUUUUGUAUCUGACUACUGGUGCGUUCACACCUACUGUCCACACCACACAUCGCGCCACUCAC
rnacentral:lncRNA from 1 species